UUAUGCCUCCUGAAGAAUCCUUCCCUACCCCCAAUCCCGUGCAAGUUCUUCAGGGGAUGAGGGAGAGCAAUGAACUUUUCCAGCUGAUCUCCCCCCGCAGGUUCCCAGACAUUCCCCAGGAUGCUCCCGGCUGUCUCAGCCAGCAGCAAUCCUGUCCUUUCCUUCCCUCGGCACACUGAGCCCUCCCAGCGCCCACGUCUGCAGGGGUUAACCGGGGAAUGGAGCAGGUACCGUGCCUGAUGGAAACAUGAAUAAAAUGUGAUGAAUAAGCAGCGGAACGGUGACUCUGGAAGCGGUGCUGCGGUGCGCGCUGCAAUCAGCGCCGAGCGCGGUGGCUGGGAAUGAACGUGAGCAGAAAACUGCAAGCCACCUGAACGCGAAAUCAAACCUACUCACCGGGUGAAAUUGCAGAAGGCGAAGCGGCUGUGAAUAAAACGCAUCCCGGCUCCAAGCAUAUAGUCCAUGGUCUGCGGCUUCAGGCUAGAGGAGGGCUGAGCAGGCUGGGGGGACUUUGGGAACCAGCAGCGGUUCUGCGUGUGUGACAACCCAUUUACACCGUGCGUGCCUGUCUGUGUGUGUGUGUAGGGCAGAGAGAGGCUCCAAACCCGAAACGGGGGAAAGAGGGAGGGGAGAAGGAGGAGGAGAGAGGGAAGCAAACCCGAAUAGCAAGAGGACUUGCGAAGAGGGAUGGGAUUCGCUGGGGUAAAUGUGAGGUUGGAUUUUUUUUUUAGGGUUUUUUUUUUUUUUUUUUUGGUGGUGAUGGAAGCGAUUCUCGAGGAAAGAAUAACAAAUUGUGGGAUCUCAGCCGCAGCCUUGCUGCCCGCCCGGCGCCGCUCUCGCUCGGAAGGGAUGUGGAGAUCCCCGAGCAGGGAAGGGGAUUUUGGGAGCGACCGUGCUGCAGGGAGAGGGGAUGGGCGGAAAUUCCCUCGCUCAUCACCCGAGUCCCUCUCCUGCCCGGGGUAAGCGAAGCAUCUCCUUUCCAUUUCCCCCGCUUCUCGAUGCUUCCGGGCUCUCGGUAUGGAAAUAAUGACAUGGCUCGUUGGAAAAAUCACCUUUUUCCUCACAUAGUGGCUCCGGAAUGCGUGCGGAAUUUUGAGGUGUGUGGGGUCCAGCAUUUAUGGAGCUUGACGUAUGUACCCCCCUCUCCUGGUCCCUUUUCUGCUGUGAACAGACAUGCGUUCAUGGCUAAUAAAAAUGCUUUUCCCUGGGUAUAGUGGGGCUGAGAGCUGAGCACGGGUAAAGUGAAAGGCAGUCCGUGUCAGGAAAGCGUGCACGGAGCUCUGGCAUCCCUGCAGGGCAGCAGGGGAUGGGUGCAGCUCACGCUCAGCAGGAUCAAUGAGCGCAGUAACCAUGAGAUUAUGUGAUGUAUGUGCCAGGCAAUAUGGAGAGUUACAGCAGCACUCGUCUGCGGCGCUCUGUGCGGUCUUUAAAUGAGAUGGCAAUUCUGGGUUUUUAUUAAGAAGCUUUUUGUCUUCUUUCUAUUGUCUCUAUAAGCACCAGUGUGAAGCUUUCGUGUCUGUUUGCCAGCCUGGCAGGUUGAGGUUUCCAGAAUCUGCUGGGGAAAAGUCGGAAACCGCAGGAACCCAAGAUUCCUCUGGCAUCGCAUUGGUUUGUUCCUGUCAGCAUAUCUCAUCACUCUUAUGCUAAAGAAUCGUGGAGUGAGCUGAUCUUAGCAAUGAUUUACGCUGCUUGGGGCUUUAUUGGUUUUUUUUUCUUUAGCGAAGAUAUAAGAAAAGGAGUGAAGGAAGGAUUAUAUGGUUUGUAAAGAGAAUAAUUCAGUGUACAUUUCAAGUGUAGUGGCUGUUAAAUAUGUAGAUAUAGAUACGAUUCUUUAUGCAGUUAUAAAAACAAAAGGUCUCUUUGCCUCAGGAUAUGAUUUCUCUUACAGCAACAGGUAGCAAAGGCUCCUCUGCCCCUUUCUCUCCCCUUAUCUCCUCCCCUUCAGCUCCUCCUGACAAAAUGAGGUUUAAAAGGUCAACCUGUUUAUGUAAAUAUUGUGCUUUCCUUAACAAAGACCGCUGCACAUCAAGCCUGCAGUGACUGUCAAAUAGAUUUGGGAUUCAAGGCAUUCAGUAAGGGUACUGUCCGUUUUCUAAGACUGAUAAAAUCUGGCAGAAAACAAAGGAGAGACGUAGUGUGUGCCUGAGAUGGAUCAACAGCGCCGGGGAGCCCAUGGGCAGCAGCACCAGAGCGGCAGAGUUCGGUACUGCAAUGUCCAUCGGACCUUUCCAUCGCAUGUGUGUGACAGAGGAACCCACAAAAUGUACAAAAAGAGAUUUGCUGCUAUGCUAAUGCCUUUCUGCUCUUUCCUUCAGGUUUCUUCUGCUCUCUAGUGAUGUCCUAGGCUGAACUUGCUUUGCAGCUCCUUCACACCAAAGGGAGCUUAAAUCAGCCAAGGAGGGUUUUGAGUCUGACCUACCUCACCCUCCCAAUGAAAGAGAUUGACUUCAUUAGUCCCUGGCUCAGACACUUCACAAUAAGGUGGAGUCUCUAUUCCAUACCAUCCAGAGGUGCAGUGGACAUAGCCUGCUCUUUAUUUCACUGUACUCUCUUUCCCUCCCUGCCACCUUCUUUCACCUACAGAGCAGGACACCUUGGUUUCCUCAGGUAGCAUCAACUCUUCUGGUUCUUUUCCACUUUAAAUUGAAAAAGAAUAUUCUGCAAUUAUUUUCACUUCAUAGAAUCACAGAAUUAUGGGAAGGGACCUUAAAGAUCAUCUAAUUGCAGCCCCUUUACCCAUUCCACUAGAACAGGCUGCUCAUAAAUGAUUGUGUCCAUUACCAAAAGACUAAAAAAGUUACUUUGGAAUUGCAACACAGAUCUUUCCCUGUGGUCAGCUCCAAGAGCUAAUUGCCCCAUAGUUUGAUUUGAGCCCUUAAAAUCAUUCUGAAGCAGAGUUAAAGGGUUGUGGAGGAUUAUGAUGCCUUUUGUUCAGUGGUGUUAAUAACCUGUGGCCUUAAAAUAUGAUAUCAUAAAAUCUCAUUUUAGGGUAGAGUACUGAAGUCACAAAUAAUGGAACAAACUGUACUGAAAGAGGCAGAAACUUAGAUCCCCACCAAAAAUGCUAACUCCAGAUUGGGACCCUGUCUGCAGCAGAUUCGUGUGAGGGAGAAGUGGCACAUGAAAUUCCCUCUUCCCAAAAGCCUUUUUUGACCACUGAAUUAGAGGUCAUUAGAGUCCUUUGUCCUGUAAAUCUGCAUUUAACAGCAGUGUAUAUCUGUAUAAACACAUUUUAACAGCUUAUCCCAUAACUUUUUUUUUUUUGUCUACUUCAUAUGAUCGACUACUUGGUUCUCUUUCUUCCAGAACCUGCUAAAUGCUUCUCUUUAACUACCAAAAAAUGUAAUUUAUUAAGGCAGCUCUGUAGCUAGUCUUAGUUUGCAACAGGCAAACCUAUUAUGCAAACAAUACUGUCACCUUCUUGCAGUGACUUCCUUCUCCCAGCUUUAAUGAAUUCCCUGCAUGCUACUCUGCUGUAAAUUCUCCAUCUAAAAAUUCCAUCCACUAUGUGAUGUGUCAGGGGAAACCACACUUGACUUUUGAAACAGUUGGGAGGAGCAGAAUGAUAACCUACUAAAGUGCCUUGCCCUUAACAGAAAUUAUGGCAAGCAAUUAAAGUUGGAGCAAAAAGACUUAA